GACGUAGGGCGCGAGCGUUUGUCCGGAUUUAUUGGGCGUAAAGAGCUCGUAGGCGGCUUGUCGCGUCGACCGUGAAAACUUGGGGCUCAACCCCAAGCCUGCGGUCGAUACGGGCAGGCUCGAGUUCGGUAGGGGAGACUGGAAUUCCUGGUGUAGCGGUGAAAUGCGCAGAUAUCAGGAGGAACACCGAUGGCGAAGGCAGGUCUCUGGGCCGAUACUGACGCUGAGGAGCGAAAGCGUGGGGAGCGAACAGG
rnacentral:rRNA from 1 species